rnacentral:rRNA from 1 species
CAGGACGAACGCUGGCGGCACGCUUAACACAUGCAAGUCGAACGGAGUAAAGAGAUUCGUCUUUUGCUUAGUGGCGGACGGGUGAGUAACACGUGAGCAACCUGCCUUCAAGAGCGGAAUAGCUUCUGGAAACGGAUGGUAAUACCGCAUAACAUUAUCUUACCGCAUGAUGAGAUAAUCAAAGAAAUUCGCUUGAAGAUGGGCUCGCGUCUGAUUAGAUAGUUGGUGGGGUAACGGCCUACCAAGUCGACGAUCAGUAGCCGGACUGAGAGGUUGGACGGCCACAUUGGGACUGAGACACGGCCCAGACUCCUACGGGAGGCAGCAGUGGGGAAUAUUGCACAAUGGGCGGAAGCCUGAUGCAGCGAUGCCGCGUGGAGGAAGAAGGUUUUCGGAUUGUAAACUCCUUUUAUCAGGGACGAUAAUGACGGUACCUGAAGAAAAAGCUCCGGCUAACUACGUGCCAGCCGCAGC